UGGUGGAGUGAUUUGUCUGCUUAAUUGCGAUAACGAACGAGACCUUAACCUGCUAAAUAGCCCGGCCCGCCCAGGCGGGUCGCCGGCUUCUUAGAGGGACUAUCGGCUCAAGCCGAUGGAAGUUUGAGGCAAUAACA
rnacentral:rRNA from 1 species